UCAUGAUACUACACAUUUUCAUGUUUCCUUUGUUCUCUAGCUGUUAAAUUUCUAGUGGAGUGCAUUUUCAAGCUGCAGGAAAGCAUCUGUGUAUAAUACAUAUGUUGAAAACAUCAAAAAAGCUGAAGAUUUUGAAUUAUAUAUCAGAAAAAAAUUCAAAUUUGUAUCUAGUUUCUCCACAGAUUGAGAGCACAGCUAAUAAAAUAACACCUCGGUUAAUGUAAUUUUCGGUUUAGGAAGCAAAAUGCAUUGAAAAUAAUGCCUUGGUUUCCAUUUUUUCCAGAGUACGAAGAAAGUUUCUCUAGGAUGCAUUAUGCCUGGACAUUUGUAGCGCCGCCCCCAGUUCCUAUGGCAAUCAGUGUUUUGGUUUACGAAUUUUCCAUAUUACAGAACAUCCCGUAGAACGCAUUAAUUUCGUAAACUGAGCAGGAGGCAACCUCUGAAAGGCCACAUGUGGUGAAUAACAACGGCCCCUCUGUGUCCCUUGUCCCCAGCGUCAAAUACGCAAAGGCUCUGUUACUGAAGAAUGUUUUAUUACUACUACAGAUGGAAGAUACAACAUCCCACUAUAAACGACAACAUCUGGAAAGGAGGACAUCCCAGUCCCAGAAAGAGAAACUAC